GUAAGUUUAUUUAAAUUCAGAAUUUCUCUUGCCAUUAUUUGUGGUACAAAUACAGUCUAAUUUAAAAAGUAUACAUGGCACAUUUUGUUUACUAUCAUUAAUUUUAUUUUGGAGGGCUUUAUGUUGUUUCAAAUUUUGUUAGUAUCUCCACAGAGAUUUCCUAAACUCUUCACAGAUAUGAUAGUUAUUUACCAAAAUGUUUUUAUAAAUUUGUGUUGUAUGAAUCCAUGUAAUCUGGUCCUUCACUCUGUGCUGCAGAAACAAAAGUAUCUCAAAGAGGUUUGUGAUUGAAAAAGAAAUGAACAAAAAAAUGCAUAAUAACUUUGGGAUUCCUGAGUCAUUUAGUAAAUGAUGAAUUUUUUAUGUUGACGUGUAUGGGCUCAGGUUCUGAUCUGCAUACACUCAUGAACUUUAUGUUAGGUGAUGUGUCUUCAUUAAUGAGUUAUCCUUGUUUGACUAGUUGACAUUCAUGGAUAUUGGCAACCAGAUAUAAGCAGAUAUAAUUCUGUAGACUUCUAGGCACUGUUAUAAUUAUUAGCCUUUCUGUUGUUUUUUUUAAACACUAGUGAUUUAUACUGAAUGCAAACUUUGUGAAGGCAGAAUCCUGUCUGCUUUACUCACCUCUGUUUCCUAGGGAUCAUAGUAAGUGUGCUAAUACUUGCUCAAUAAUGCUACCUUUAAGCAUUUUUAUCAGAUGGUAGUGUCUAAUAUGGAAAGAUACAGGAAGCUCCUUGCCUCUCUCCUUUCCUUCUUUUUUCUUGUCUGUUUGCUUGGAGAGGAUUUGGCUGUAAGCCAGCCCAACCUUACACCCAGGAUCUUCCUGCCCCAGAUGCCUAAGUUCUGGAAUUAAAUGUGGACACUACCACACCUUGUAUCAUUCUUACUUGAGAGUGAUUUUCAACUUUGUAUUGUCUUAAUUGUCCAUUAAUUUGUUAAUAUGUACCAUCUGUCUUUUUCUGCUUCUGGUGUGCCAAGAGAUUUACUGUGUUUAUGUCUGAAAGACUUUAUAUUUUUAAACUGAGAAAUUAGUUUUUCCUUUUAAGGUUUUCUCAGCCAACUAUACUUACUUUGUUUCGAUACCUAUCUAGUCCUUAAGUUCACUGGUUUGCACCACUUUUGAAUAUAUAUUAAUUUAUAAACCCUCUCAAGAAAUAUAGCUGGGACUGAGGAGAUUGUAGAGUGGGAAUAGAGGCUGACUGUAAAUCCCGAGGGUGUGAGUCUUGAUCCUCAGAGUCUGUGUAGGGAACAGAGAGAACAGGCUCCUCUCAGGUUACUCUCUGACCUUCUCCCAGAUGCCAUGUCGUGUGGCCCUUAAAUUAGUAAAAUG
rnacentral:lncRNA from 1 species